ensembl:lncRNA
CGCUCUGGGUUCUUCUCUGUCCCUGUGAUUAGCCCAUCCAAUCAGAUGAACUACAAGGACCAUUGGCACAGCUCUUUCUUGAAGCUCCCUUGAGAAUCAGUGGGUCUUAUCAGCACUGUUAUCCUGUGCAAUUAGCAUGCAGAUCUGCCCUCCACUGUGAUUAGGAGGUUGAAGUUAAAUGAAUUAAUUUGAAAGUGCAGGCUGAAAAUUAAAUUCAGUGGUUGGAUUACACUCCAUGACCUUAUCCAGCACUAAGCACACAUGCAUCCUCCUCAGCUAAACCAAUGAGGGGUGUCAUAAGGGGGACAAGCACAGAGCUAAGGAUUUUUGCUAAUUGACUUGAUUUUAACUUUAUCCCUUGUAGGACUGAGAAUGAGGGGAAGAUUCUGUAGCAGCGUGGUGCAUAAAAGCAAACCCUUUGAAGUGUACAGAUGGGUUAAAAUGUGGGACCACAGCAGCACACUACAACAAAAAGAAUCAGGAAAGCAGCCAUUACCGUGGUGGGCAGGCUGGUCAGGGAGAACUCCAGGUGCCCUCCAUUAGUGCAGAGUGAAGGCCGAGGCAGAGCAAACUGUUGGACUGUUUUUAUCAUGAUGAAAGGAAGGUAGGCCACAUACUCAGGAUGGAAUAAUACCAGUGUUGUUUUAGAGAUGUUUUGGGGUCAGAAGAAGACGAAGAGGAAACAGUUCUAAAAAAGACACUGUUUGAAUGGAUACAACCCACUCUCACUCCCAAGGCGUCAAAAACUGAAGCAUGGUCAAGCGCCUCUAGCGUCACAAUAUCGAUGAACUAGGACCUACAUUGCUUUCAGUGGGAUACUUUUGGCGUCAGUACUCAGACGCAAAGGGCAUGAGAUGUUUAUCCACUGAUCUAUAUAUGACUGGAUCGCUCAUCGCGUUCUAAACUGCCAGCAGGCAGUGAAGUCACCGAAAGUGUUCGAUCCGCCAUCUUACUAAUCCCUACCGGCAGAGAGCACCAUUGAGUCACAUUCAAACCGCUGUCCUAAAAUCACCCGAUAUGAAACAAAUCAGUCUAGUCAGGGACUAGUUUUUAUGUUAUGUGUAUG